CUCCUUCUUCUCCUUCUCCUUCUCCUUUCCCUUUCUCCAUCCUCCUCCUCCUCCUUUCUCCUCCUCCUCUCCGCCGCCGAUGCGGGGCUGCACCGGCGUUUGGAAAUAGGCUAAAGAAUCUCUGUGGAAUUUAAUAUGGCAUCACAGCAGUCAUCUCCAUCAACAGAGGAUCAGGCUUCCUCCGAAACAGAUGAUCUCUAUCUAUCACUGCAAGUGCACUGAGAGUCUACACAGAAAAAAGCCUUCACUAGCUGGAUAAAUUCAAUAUUGGCAAAGCAUACACUUCCUUCAGUCACCUCAGACCUGCAUACAGACAUAAGGCAAGGACGUUUGCUUUUGAAUCUGUUGGAAGUGCUUUUGGCCACGGGAAAAAGGAUUUAAUACCUUCCAGUGCAGAAACAAUGUACAAAAUGCUUUGACAUUUUUAAAGAGCCGAUCAAUUGCAGAACUUGCUGGGACACUUGCUUGUUCUUACAAUCAGCCUUCAUGUGAUCAUUCAGGCAAGCUGAUCAGCUAAAAAAAGUGCUAAAAUUAAGGAACUAUGGAAGGUGUCUGCUACAAAUGCUCUUUUGUUGUGAGAAAAAGAACAGUGUUCACUGAGUGAGAUUAAAAUAAUCCUAUGUGUGUUGACUUGUAAUACAGGAAAAGAUGUUGACAUUGUGAAUCUGGAUGAAAAGUCAAUCAUGACUUACGUGGCUCAGUUUUUGCAGUACUCCAGGAAUUCGUGUGAGUGUGAAGGAGAUGUGCAGGGUAGAAAAGAUGAUCCUGAGAACUACUGACCUGUCAGCCUCACCUCUGUGCCUGGGAAGAUCAUGGAACAGAUCCUCCUAGAAGCUCUGCUAAAGCAAAUGGAGGACAAGGAGG